rnacentral:rRNA from 1 species
GACGAACGCUGGCGGCGUGCUUAACACAUGCAAGUCGAACGGAAAGGCCCUGCUUUUGUGGGGUUCUCGAGUGGCGAACGGGUGAGUAACACGUGAGUAACCUGCCCUUGACUUUGGGGUAACUUCAGGAAACUGGGUCUAAUACCGGAUAGGAGCUUCUGCGGCAUGGUGGGGGUUGGAAAGUUUCGGCGGUUGGGGAUGGACUCGCGGAUUUGCAGCUUGUUGGUGGGGUAGUGGCUUACCAAGGCUUUGACGGGUAGCCGGCCUGAGAGGGUGACCGGCCCCAUUGGGACUGAGGUACGGACCAGAGUCCAACGGGAGGCAGCAGUGGGAAAUAUUGCACAAUGGGCGGAAGCCUGAUGCAGCAACGCCGCGUGCGGAAUGACGGCUUUCGGGUUGUAAACAGCUUUCGCCUGUGACGAAGAGUGAGUGACGGUAAUGGGUCAAGAAGCACCGGCUAACUACGUG